rnacentral:rRNA from 1 species
GACGAACGCUGGCGGCGUGCCUAAUACAUGCAAGUCGAGCGCAGGAAAUCGACGGAACCCUUCGGGGGGGAAGUUGACGGAAUGAGCGGCGGACGGGUGAGUAACACGUAAAGAACCUGCCCUCAGGUCUGGGAUAACCACGAGAAAUCGGGGCUAAUACCGGAUAGGUCAUCGGACCGCAUGGUCCGAGGAUGAAAGGCGCUUCGGCGUCGCCUGGGGAUGGCUUUGCGGUGCAUUAGCUAGUUGGUGGGGUAAUGGCCCACCAAGGCGACGAUGCAUAGCCGACCUGAGAGGGUGAUCGGCCACACUGGGACUGAGACACGGCCCAGACUCCUACGGGAGGCAGCAGUAGGGAAUCUUCCACAAUGGACGAAAGUCUGAUGGAGCAACGCCGCGUGAACGAUGAAGGCCUUCGGGUCGUAAAGUUCUGUUGUAAGGGAAGAACAAGUGCCGCAGGCAAUGGCGGCACCUUGACGGUACCUUGCGAGAAAGCCACGGCUAACUACGUGCCAGCAGCCGCCGUAA